UUUAGGGUAAGCUAAAUAAAGCUAUUGGGCUCAUAACCCAAAAAUGGUAGGACCCCCUAAAA
rnacentral:tRNA from 1 species